rnacentral:misc_RNA from 1 species
GAAAUGCGAUAAGUAAUGUGAAUUGCAGAAUUCAGUGAACCAUCGAAUCUUUGAACGCACAUUGCGCCCGGCAGUAAUCUGCCGGGCAUGCCUGUCCGAGCGUCAUUUCUGCCCUCGAGCGAGUCCAGCAUCUAGGUGCUGGGCCUCGCCCGGCGUUGGGGCACUACGGGAAGCCCCUGUGCUGUCCCCCGUAGGCCCCGAAAUGAAGUGGCGGUCCUGCCGCGGCGCCCCCUGCGUAGUAUAACAGCUCGCUUCGGGACCCGGUGGAGGCCUGCCGUCAAACCUAUACUCUCUAAGUUUGACCUCGGAUCAGGUAGGGUUACCCGCUGAACUUAA